CAACAUUUCCUGCCCCUCCUUGGCCCACUUUUCCUGAAUCCUGCCCUAGGUCUCUUGCCUACUGAAAUCAGAUACUCUCCCUGGGCUUCAGAGACACUCUGGUGGCUUGCCAGUCACCAAAUAUUAGACACUUACAUUUGGGAGGUUAUGUGCCCAUAUUAUUGCAUGGGCACAUGGCAAAUACCUCCAAGCUUAUUCCUAGUAGUAUUAGGGGACUCUCUGGGGCCUUGUCUUUGAGAGAAGGUAUCUUAAGGCUGCUGGGCAACCCCAAGACGGGCAGAUCCAGCUCUUCCUCCAGACUUAAUUUCUGGCCCUUUCUGGAUAGAACAGAGAGCCCAGACACAAAAUAUACCUGAAAGGAACAAGCCCACCACCCUCACCCAAGCUGGAGACCACCUCCCUUUCUCCUUAGAUCUACCCUUAUGAACUGCUGCUGGUGACUACAAGAGGAAGAAACCGACUGCCCAAGGAUGUAGACAGGACCCGUUUAGAGCGCCACCUGUCCCAGGAAGAGUUCUACCAAGUCUUUGGCAUGACCAUCUCUGAGUUUGACCGGCUGGCCCUCUGGAAGAGGAAUGAACUGAAGAAGCAAGCCCGGCUGUUCUAGGCAGAGGCUCUAUAAAUAUAUAUGCAUUUAUAUAAAGAUAUAUGUAAAAUCUCUCUACUGAAGCUCGGUAUAAUCCUCUCUUGUGUAAUGGGACACACUGCCUGCCAUGAGACUUGCUUUUCUGUACUGUCAGGCAAGCCCACGUCAUCGAGAUAUUUUUAUGCUCCUUA
rnacentral:sRNA from 1 species